ensembl:lncRNA
CACACACACACAGUCACCGAGGUCAACGCCGGUCUCUCUUUGGAGCUGUUUGUUACUUUUCCCUCGAGCAGUUGCACCAGCCAGCUGCUGGGGACACGCAGAGUGUCCGAGUACAUCUUUGACAGGUCGGGCAGUUUCAGUUCUACAAUUCAGUUUUUUGGGACUUACAUCCGGUUCCAGUUCAAGAGUAAACGAGCGCAGAUUAAUAGAACUACGUUUUACUAGCGGACCGAAAGUGUUACUGACGGGAAUCUACAGCGUCUGGAGCUGAAUUAAGACUUCAGAAGUCAUUCGUCAUGUCGAAUGACCAGCGGAUAAACUCUCAGGUGAAGAGCCUGAGGCCGGUGACAGUCCAGUUCUACUCCAAGUACAUCCUUACGGUGGCUCACAGGACAAGGCCACAUUCCUGUCCUGCCAGAAGAGAAACUUCAGAGUCUUCAUGCAGUUCAACCACACCUGUCAUAUUCCGUAUGACAGGGGUCUCAAACUCCAGUCCUCGAGGGCCGCUGUCAUGCAACUUUUCCAUGUGUCCCUGGUGCAACACACCUGAAUACAAUUAGUAGGUCAUUAGCAAGAGUAUAGAACUUGACUGCAUGCUGAGGUGGCAACCCCUAA